GACGAACGCUGGCGGCGUGCUUAACACAUGCAAGUCGAACGAUAAACCGGCAGCUUGCUGCUGGGGAUUCGUGGCGAACGGGGGAGUAACACGUGAGGAACCUGCCCUGGACUCUGGGGUAAACCCGUGAAAACGGUGCUAAAACCGGAUAGGACUCGGUACCCCAAGGUGUGGGAUGGUAAGGUUUUUCGGUCUGGGAUGGACUCGCGGCCUAUCAGCUUGUUGGUGAGGUAAGGGCUGACCAAGGCGUCGACGGGUAGCCGGCCUGAGAGGGUGACCGGCCACACUGGGACUGAGACACGGCCCAGAGUCCUACGGGAGGCAGCAGUGGGGAAUAUUGCACAAUGGGCGCAAGCCUGAUGCAGCAACGCCGCGUGCGGGAUGACGGCCUUCGGGUUGUAAACCGCUUUUAGUAAGGAAGAAGGGGAGCUUGCUCCUUGACGGUACUUGCAGAAAAAGGACCGGCUAACUACGUGCCAGCAGCCGCCGUAAAAC
rnacentral:rRNA from 1 species